CUUCACACACGAUUUCACCAAACUGCAAACGCAGACUCAACCUUUCCCUCCCACGUCGCCGCCCCCCCUCCUCGGCCCCGCCUCCACCGGCGGCGGCGGCGGUUCCUGCUUCCUCUUUCACAGUUCCCUCUCUCCCCCCCCUUUUCUCUGUAACUCGAGCUCUCUCCUACUACACAUAUACUUACGGUAGUCUCGCUUUCUGCAUCGCGGCUGACCGGCUAUUUCCGGCGCUGCUGCUGCCCUAUUCCAGCGACUCCAGGCUAGUUUAGCCUCCCCAUUGUAAAAGGUGUUCCCAUUAGUGAGGUUAUAUAUCAAUCAUUCUUGGUACUACACAACAAGAGGGGAGUUCACAUAUAAGAGGCGAAGGUAAAAGAGCUUGCUGCUACUCAAGGCGAGAACGCAAAUAUGAGUGUUAUCUUUGUAAAUCAGUUAUGGGAGGCUGCCUCGACAAAAAGAGGAGGAUGGUUGGAACCGGAGAUCUCAGACCAAGCCUUGUAGGUAAUUCUACGCACUACUAGAAGGAGGUGUCAAUCUAAGAUGAAAGAAAAAUUAUCUGCUGAGCGCGAGAGGAGAAUGAAACUAGAAGAAGAGGUGAAGAUGCUAAAUGAGAGGAUGGACCAAUUCAUGUCCCAUCAGCAGUCACACAACUCGAGUCAUUUUACUGUCCAGUAUCGUUGCGAGGAUUCUGAAGAAUUAUGAGUAUGAUACCGUAUCUUGUACUUCACUAUCAACUAUAAUCUUAGGUUAUGACUUUAUCAAACUUCAUGUAAUUUUUAAAAACUUAUUAGUGUAUUAUUAUUUUUGUUUACAAAGAAUUGAUGUUAUUUAUUUGUUGAGUUA